rnacentral:rRNA from 1 species
GACGAACGCUGGCGGCGUGCCUAAUACAUGCAAGUUGAGCGCUGAAGGUUGGUACUUGUACCGACUGGAUGAGCAGCGAACGGGUGAGUAACGCGUGGGGAAUCUGCCUUUGAGCGGGGGACAACAUUUGGAAACGAAUGCUAAUACCGCAUAAAAACUUUAAACACAAGUUUUAAGUUUGAAAGAUGCAAUUGCAUCACUCAAAGAUGAUCCCGCGUUGUAUUAGCUAGUUGGUGAGGUAAAGGCUCACCAAGGCGAUGAUACAUAGCCGACCUGAGAGGGUGGUCGGCCACCUCGGGACUGAGACACGGCCCAAACUCCUACGGGAGGCAGCAGUAGGGAAUCUUCGGCAAUGGACGGAAGUCUGACCGAGCAACGCCGCGUGAGUGAAGAAGGGUUUCGGAUCGGAAAACUCUGUUGGUAGAGAAGAACGUUAGUGAGAGUGGAAAGCUCAUCAAGUGACGGUAACUACCCAGAAAGGGACGGCUAACUACGUG